GAUGAACGCUGGCGGCAGGCCUAACACAUGCAAGUCGAGCGGUAGAGAGGUGCUUGCAUCUCUUGAGAGCGGCGGACGGGUGAGUAAUGCCUAGGAAUCUGCCUAGUGGUGGGGGAUAACGUUCGGAAACGGACGCUAAUACCGCAUACGUCCUACGGGAGAAAGCGGGGGAUCUUCGGACCUCGCGCCAUUAGAUGAGCCUAGGUCGGAUUAGCUAGUUGGUGAGGUAAUGGCUCACCAAGGCGACGAUCCGUAACUGGUCUGAGAGGAUGAUCAGUCACACUGGAACUGAGACACGGUCCAGACUCCUACGGGAGGCAGCAGUGGGGAAUAUUGGACAAUGGGCGAAAGCCUGAUCCAGCAAUGCUGCGUGUGUGAAGAAGGCCUCGGUUGUAAGCGACUUCUAGCGAGGAGGAGAGUGUGUG
rnacentral:rRNA from 1 species